CGAGUUUAUAGGUUUACAAACAGAGCGCGCUCGUAUUGGUCAGAGACUUGUAGCGAGGGUUACCGGGAAGUGUAGUUGGAAGGAGUAUGUGGGGGAAUGGUCGUUUCUGCCUUACAUGCUCCUACAAGGGCAGCUUGUUGGUUAUUUAGAGUAAUAUUUGGAAGUAAACAUGUAUUUGCUCAGAUGUGAUGGCUAGUGGAUUCUUCAGGACUCUAGACUUGUAUAGAUGAAAAACCACCUGUAUUUUCAAAGCACUGCUGUAAGAUACCACAGUCACUAUUUAUUUGGAUGUCUGGGUAUCUCAGCCCAGACCUGAUGACUGUGGUAUAUGGUGUACAUUAUACUUCAUAAACUUCAUAAAGAAGCCAUAAAGAGAUGUUAACCCAGGGGGAAGGCAAUUUGUGAGGGUACUUCGUGAUGUCAUUGCACAUGUCCACCGGCAGAUGUGACGUCACUGAUUAACAGCGAAGCUCUACUGACUUCACUUGAAAACCUUGGGAGAAUGGUACAUCAAGAAGAUCUGUUACUAUCUGUUGACAGGAGCAUUUGGAUACAGCCACCUAAAACUGCAGCCUCAAUGGUGCCCUCCCAACUAGCUGGAUGAUAGGGGCCACAUCGAUAUAUUAGGGAAUUUGCCAAUCCUGCUUUGGCCCAAAAAUGUCUUUACCAGCCAAGAAUGAAGACAGCUGCCAUUAAAUGAAUUCCAGAUAAUGAAACUCAGUUACAUUGUUUUAAUGUGUUUUAACUGGUGAAUAUGUUUAUAAAAGCUGAUUUGUCA